UAAUAAAAGGUAAGCUACGAAGAGCGAAUGGUGGAUGCCUUGACUGGUAAAGGCGAUGAAGGACGUACUAGACUGCGAUAAGCUACGGGGAGCUGUCAAGAAGCUUUGAUCCGUAGAUUUCCGAAUGGGGCAACCCAAUGUAUAGAGAUAUACAUUACCUAUAGUAGGAGCGAACGAGGGGAAUUGAAACAUCUUAGUACCCUCAGGAAAAGAAAUCAAUAGAGAUUGCGUCAGUAGCGGCGAGCGAAAGCGCAAGAGGGCAAACCCAGUGCUUGCACUGGGGGUUGUAGGACUGCAAUGUGCAAGAGCUGAGUUUAGCAGAACAUUCUGGAAAGUAUAGCCAUAGAGGGUGAUAGUCCCGUAUGCGAAAAACAAAGCUUAGCUAGCAGUAUCCUGAGUAGGGCGGGACACGAGGAAUCCUGUCUGAAUCCGGGUCGACCACGAUCCAACCCUAAAUACUAAUACCAGAUCGAUAGUGCACAAGUACCGUGAGGGAAAGGUGAAAAGAACUGAGGUGAUCAGAGUGAAAUAGAACCUGAAACCAUUUGCUUACAAUCAUUCAGAGCACUAUGUAGCAAUACAGUGUGAUGGACUGCCUUUUGCAUAAUGAGCCUGCGAGUUGUGGUGUCUGGCAAGGUUAAGCAAACGCGAAGCCGUAGCGAAAGCGAGUCUGAAUAGGGCGCUUAGUCAGAUGCUGCAGACCCGAAACGAAGUGAUCUAUCCAUGAGCAAGUUGAAGCUAGUGUAAGAACUAGUGGAGGACUGAACCCGCUAGCGUUGAAAAGCUAUGGGAUGACUUGUGGAUAGGGGUGAAAGGCCAAUCAAACUUCGUGAUAGCUGGUUCUCUCCGAAAUAUAUUUAGGUAUAGCGUUGUGUCGUAAUAUAAGGGGGUAGAGCACUGAAUGGGCUAGGGCAUACACCAAUGUACCAAACCCUAUCAAACUCCGAAUACCUUAUAUGUAAUCACAGCAGUCAGGCGGCGAGUGAUAAAAUCCGUCGUCAAGAGGGAAACAACCCAGACUACCAGCUAAGGUCCCUAAAUCUUACUUAAGUGGAAAACGAUGUGAAGUUACUUAAACAACCAGGAGGUUGGCUUAGAAGCAGCCAUCCUUUAAAGAAAGCGUAAUAGCUCACUGGUCUAGUGAUUUUGCGCGGAAAAUAUAACGGGGCUAAAGUAAGUACCGAAGCUGUAGACUUGCACACAACUUAGAUUAUUUAAGUUUAGAAUAUGAGAAACUAAGUUAACUAAGUUAUAUGUUUAGUUAUAUUUUUACUGAUUUUUAUAGAGUAAAGAUAAAAACAAAAACUUCGUAAAAAUAAUAAAAUAUAGUAAAAAACAAUAAAAAUAUUCUUAGAUUAAAAGUUAAGUCAUUUAAGUUGUGUGCAAGUGGUAGGAGAGCGUUCUAUUUGCGUCGAAGGUAUACCGGUAAGGAGUGCUGGAGCGAAUAGAAGUGAGCAUGCAGGCAUGAGUAGCGAUAAUUAAUGUGAGAAUCAUUAACGCCGUAAACCCAAGGUUUCCUACGCGAUGCUCGUCAUCGUAGGGUUAGUCGGGUCCUAAGUCGAGUCCGAAAGGGGUAGACGAUGGCAAAUUGGUUAAUAUUCCAAUACCAACAUUAGUGUGCGAUGGAAGGACGCUUAGGGCUAAGGGGGCUAGCGGAUGGAAGUGCUAGUCUAAGGUCGUAGGAGCUUAUACAGGAAAAUCCGUAUAAGAACACUCCGAGAACUGAAAGGCUUUUUGAAGUCUUCGGAUGGAUAGAAGAACCCCUGAUGCCGUCGAGCCAAGAAAAGUUUCUAAGUUUAGCUAAUGUUGCCCGUACCGUAAACCGACACAGGUGGGUGGGAUGAGUAUUCUAAGGCGCGUGGAAGAACUCUCUUUAAGGAACUCUGCAAAAUAGCACCGUAUCUUCGGUAUAAGGUG
rnacentral:rRNA from 1 species